GUUGAGGAGACCACACUUAAUCUUCUAAUUCAAAGCCGGGUCUCUCUUUCCAGUCAUAGAUAAUUAGCGCCACACUCUUCUAACACCAAGAUUCUGAACAUCAGGAUCUCAAAGUUCACCUGCUCUAUUCUUUCAUUCAGUGUCCUCUAAUCAUCCCCAUCCUCCUACUCAGCAUCUCAUGAGUGCUGGAGUGAAUACCUAACUCCAGUGUCAGCAGUGGAUGAUACUCAUUUUUCUUUGCUUGGUUUAUUACCUUAGUCAUCUAACCCCCUUGACACAAAAUAGAAGCGUAAUUAUGCAGAGCCCAGCUGAGCAUUUACUCCCAGCGCUGAACACUUCCCAGUCAGCAGUGAAGGUCCCAGUUCACAGUCACCGCCUUGGGCUGUCAAAGUCCUUUGGCUCUCCUUUUCUCUAAUCGGCAGUGUUCCCCUUUAGUACUGAAUUUGGAAUAGAUUUAUUUUAGAGCAUAUUUUUAAAUUGAAACAAGGAAAAAAAAAAAAAAACUUUUAAAAAAAAUCACUCAACCAAGAAGUCACUUUGCCUAUUUGUUGCACUGCCAGAGACUGGUUUUUUUGUGGGUUUUUUUUUUGUCUUUUUGCCUUUUCUAGGGCCGCUCCCGCGGCAUAUGGAGGUUCCCAGGCUAGGGGUCUAAUCGGAGCUGUAGCCACCAGCCUAUGCCAGAGCCACAGCAAUGCAGGAUCCGAGCAGCAUCUGCAACCUACACCACAGCUCACGGCAAUGCUGGAUGGUUAACCCACUGAGCAAGGGCAGGCACCAAACCCGCAACCUCAUGGUUCCUAGUCGGAUUCGUUAACCACUGCACCACGAUGGGAACUCCGACUGGUUUUUACUUUUAGGAAGGUUUUCCUAAAACAGGGCAUUAUCUCUUUUCAUCAAGCAUAAUAGAUCCAGUUACUUUUCUUCACCCCUACCCUCAGUCUGCUAUUUUUGGCCUCAUGAGUUAUUUUCUCCUGGAAGAGGGGUACUGCCCCCAGGACAACUCCAACUUGAGUGGCCAAAAUCAGCCAAGUCCAAGUCCCUUUUCAUGAAACCUAAAGCUGCACAAGGACCCAGGCUCCUGAAGGAUUCC
rnacentral:lncRNA from 1 species